rnacentral:rRNA from 1 species
UGGGGGAUAUUGCACAAUGGAGGAAACUCUGAUGCAGCAACGCCGCGUGAGGGAAGAAGGUCUUCGGAUUGUAAACCUCAGUAGUCAGGGACGAAAGAAAUGACGGUACCUGAAGAGUAAGCUCCGGCUAACUACGUGCCAGCAGCCGCGGUAAUACGUAGGGAGCGAGCGUUGUCCGGAUUUACUGGGUGUAAAGGGUGCGUAGGCGGGAUAGCAAGUCAGACGUGAAAUACCGAGGCUUAACUUCGGGGCUGCGUUUGAAACUGUUAUUCUUGAGUGAAGUAGAGGCAGGCCGAAUUCCUAGUGUAGCGGUGAAAUGCGUAGAUAUUAGGAGGAACACCAGUGGCGAAGGCGGCCUGCUGGGCUUUAACUGACGCUGAGGCACGAAAGCAUGGGGAGCAAACA